rnacentral:rRNA from 1 species
AUUGAACGCUGGCGGCAUGCCUCACACAUGCAAGUCGAACGGUAACAGGUCUUCGGAUGCUGACGAGUGGCGAACGGGUGAGUAAUACAUCGGAACGUGCCUAGUAGUGGGGGAUAACUACUCGAAAGAGUGGCUAAUACCGCAUGAGAUCUACGGAUGAAAGCAGGGGAUCGCAAGACCUUGUGCUACUAGAGCGGCCGAUGGCAGAUUAGGUAGUUGGUGGGAUAAAAGCUUACCAAGCCGACGAUCUGUAGCUGGUCUGAGAGGACGAUCAGCCACACUGGGACUGAGAAACGGCCCGGACUCCUACGGGAGGCAGCAGUGGGGAAUUUUGGACAAUGGGCGAAAGCCUGAUUCAGCAAUGCCGCGUGCAGGAUGAAGGCCUUCGGGUUGUAAACUGCUUUUGUACGGAACGAAAAGCCCCGGGUUAAUACCCUGGGGUCAUGACGGUACCGUAAGAAUAAGCACCGGCUAACUACGUGCCAGCAGCCGCAGUAA